GAUGAACGCUGGCGGCGUGCCUAACACAUGCAAGUCGAGCGAGAUUUAGGGGAUUGGAGGCUUCGGCCAAAGAGAACUUAUUGAAAGCGGCGGACGGGUGAGUAACGCGUGAGCAAUCUGCCCCAUACAGAGGGAUAGCCACUGGAAACGGUGAUUAAUACCUCAUAAGACUACACUAUCACAUGUUAGAGUAGCCAAAGAUUUAUCGGUAUGGGAUGAGCUCGCGUCUGAUUAGCUAGUUGGUAAGGUAACGGCUUACCAAGGCGACGAUCAGUAGCCGGCCUGAGAGGGUGAACGGCCACACUGGAACUGAGACACGGUCCAGACUCCUACGGGAGGCAGCAGUGGGGAAUAUUGCACAAUGGGCGCAAGCCUGAUGCAGCAA
rnacentral:rRNA from 1 species